CCCUUAGAUGUUCUGGACCGCACGCGUGCUACACUGAGUGGAUCAGCGGGUCAGGUUGCGCGAAAGCGUUUCCUAAUCUUUAAAUCCGCUCGUGAUGGGGAUUGACGGUUGCAAUUUUCUGUCAUGAACGAGGAAUACCUUGUAAGCGCGGGUCAUCAUCCCGCGCUGAAUACGUCCCUGCCCUUUGUACACACCGCCCGUCGCUCCUACCGAUUGAGUGGUCCGGUGAGGCUUUGGGAUCUGAGCGGAAAGAGCGUUUCGCUGUUUCUGCUCGGAAAACUCAGUCGAACCUUAUCAUUUAGAGGAAGGAGAAGGCGUAACA
rnacentral:rRNA from 1 species